GCCCUCAACUUCACCCACAGCAGCUCCCAUAUGAUCUAUUUUAGAUGAUGCAGUAUGACUUGGCUUUGGGAGCAGAGGGUCGGGGAGAGAAUUCUUGAGAACCAUUUGGUGAAAAUACAUCAUGGAGUAUUGGAGCAUGAAGAUAGGAGUAAGAUUCAACCAGGUGCUGUGGAAGAGAGAAACAGAGAUGUACUGAGGCUGGAGAGACCAGGAGAAAGGUCCUUCCAACAGAGCCAAGGAAGCCGACCUGAGAGCUCUGGCUUUUUGCCGCAUCCUUGCAUCUUCAGUCUUCACCAGCCAGCCUGCUUUCCCUCCGCACCAUCCCUCUGUGGGUAAACCUGUAUCCCAAAGAGUGAGCCUAUAUCUUCUCAAGGUCCCUCUCUCUUCAAGCACAUUAUCUAUGCAGGUUCAUAGUGGUAGCCUUUCAAAGCACACAAGUGGCCAGGCCCUUCCCAGAGGACAUCCAACCUCCAGGUUCAAUCCCCAAAAUACACUGCCCUAAUGGCUGGACCUAGCCCCUGUGCUAGAAUAAUUCCUCCAAUCCUUGAGCUCCCUUCAAGUUCUGGACUUAAAAUCCCACCAAUCUGUACCCUGAAAAGCUCCCUACUCCCAAGAAAUCUGUUAUAAAGCCUGCCUUCUGCCCAGCUCUCUGCUGCUUCUUACUUAAGAAGAGGCAGCCACUGUCCUAGGUUUUCCCUUCUCUAUAAAUCCCUUGUGUGAA